rnacentral:rRNA from 1 species
AACGAACGCUGGCGGCAUGCCUAACACAUGCAAGUCGAACGAGACCUUCGGGUCUAGUGGCGCACGGGUGCGUAACGCGUGGGAACCUGCCCUUAGGUUCGGAAUAACUCCCCGAAAGGGGUGCUAAUACCGGAUAAUGUCUUCGGACCAAAGAUUUAUCGCCUUUGGAUGGGCCCGCGUUGGAUUAGCUAGUUGGUAGGGUAAAAGCCUACCAAGGCGACGAUCCAUAGCUGGUCAGUGAGGAUGAUCAGCCACACUGGGACUGAGACACGGCCCAGACUACUACGGGAGGGAGCAGUGGCGAAUAUUGGACAAUGGGCGAAAGCCUGAUCCAGCAAUGCCGCGUGAGUGAUGAAGGCCUUAGGGUUGUAAAGCUCUUUUACCCGGGAUGAUAAUGACAGUACCGGGAGAAUAAGCUCCGGCUAACUCCGUG